UUAAAAUUCUCUCAAAAUUUAAAUAAGAUCAUGCUGCUUUUGUUACCAAUCAUUUACCAUUUUGCAUGGUUUAAAUUCUCCUAAAAUUUAAAUAAGAUCAGGCUGCUUUUGUUACCAAAUAAGGCGGCGCGAUGUGGAUGUCUCGGUAUCCGUAUCUGGGCCCAUUGUUCGCCCAGAAAUUGGCGCAUUAAUGUAAAUCGGCAGCCAGGCAUGACGGAUUAUAGGAACCCAGACCUAGUCCAGAUGCAGCCCGACCAUUAAAUUAUCGUCCAGUUACGCCAGCAUUAUAUAUGUACAUAUGUACAUAUGUACGAGUAUGUACAAGACACAAAGCUCUUUGUUUCCACUGCCGGUGACAAAAGGUUGCGCCUGAAGAACCCAAUGACUUGGAACCGAAUCGAAAGGGGGCAACCAGUUACCAUCGUACCACCCUGUAACUACUACUGAUUGAUUCUCAUUGCUGGUGGUAAGAAGUUCUUGGGCCGAUAAGCCUGUUAGGACCGUUAACGUUACCGAUCGCCCAGAGCUACUGCUGCCUCAUGAAAACUGAUUACCGCACUCCAUGGCAAGCGAAACGUGACAAUCUGCUGCUGAAUAUUGCAUAAUCAUUGUCAAUGUUACAUUUCUGGGUCUGACGCAUGCGACGACGGGCUCUUUUGGAAUGGCAUGUGGACCUCGGGCAGAAUGUGUAACCAAGCGCAAAUGAAUCAUCGAAGUCGGGCCAAAAACACCGAAAGCCCAGACCCAAAGUCGCAGGGCUGCGAUCGGUAGUCCGAUGUUUUUAAUAAGGCAAGCGACAAACAAGCAGGAAUUGGGUCAGCCGAGAUAAAUGCGCUGCACCCAAAUGGAGCUGAUUUCGGGAGUUCUUCUUGUUCGAAAUUUAAUACACUGAUGGAUAUGGACAUGGACUGGGAUGGGAGCUUGGAACAAUGGCUGGGCUUUCAUGCGAACUGUCAACUUGUCACGACAAUUAAGCAAGUCGAUGGCUAUCUGGCUAUCCGGCUAUCUAUCGGCGGAAGAUCAGGAAACGCCCACGCAUGCCGUCGUCUUAAGCGUUAAACAAAUUAAAUAUCCGAUAUUGUGGUGGGGGUAAAUUAUUGAAAUACGACACCGCUCGGAGUGGAUGCAUCAGGUAGAGGUGAUGACCCAAUUCGCUAUGCACUUGCGCGACAAUUUUGGUAAACACAGAACCUUUAAGAACCCCA